GAUGAACGCUAGCGGCAGGCUUAACACAUGCAAGUCGAGGGGUAUAGUUCUUCGGAAUUAGAGACCGGCGCACGGGUGCGUAACGCGUAUGCAAUCUACCUUUCACAGAGGGAUAGCCCCAGAGAAAUUUGGAUUAAUACCUCAUAGUAUGUGAGAAUCGCAUGGUUUUCACAUUAAAGUUCCAACGGUAAAGAUGAGCAUGCGUCCCAUUAGCUAGAUGGUAAGGUAACGGCUUACCAUGGCUACGAUGGGUAGGGGUUCUGAGAGGAAGGUCCCCCACACUGGUACUGAGACACGGACCAGACUCCUACGGGAGGCAGCAGUGAGGAAUAUUGGUCAAUGGGCGAGAGCCUGAACCAGCCAAGUCGCGUGAAGGAAGAAGGUUCUAUGGAUUGUAAACUUCUUUUGUAAGGGAAUAAAAAGUGGUACGUGUACCAUAUUGUAUGUACUUUACGAAUAAGGAUCGGCUAACUCCGUGCCAGCAGCCGCGGUAAAGUGACUACUG
rnacentral:rRNA from 1 species